rnacentral:rRNA from 1 species
GAUGAACGCUGGCGGCGUGCCUAAUACAUGCAAGUCGAGCGAACGGACGAUAAGCUUGCUUCUCUGAUGUUAGCGGCGGACGGGUGAGUAACACGUGGAUAACCUACCUAUAAGACUGGUAUAACUUCGGGAAACCGUAGCUAAUACCGUAUAAUAUUUUGAACCGCAUGGUUCAAAAGUGAAAGACGGUCUUGCUGUCACUUAUAGAUGGAUCCGCGCUGCAUUAUCUAGUUGUUAAGGUAACGGCUUACCAAGGCAACGAUGCAUAGCCGAACUGAUAGGCUGAUCGGCCACACUGGAACUGAGCCAGGGUCAAGACUACUACGGGAGGCAGCAGUAGGGAAUGUUCCGCAAUGGGCGAAAGCCUGACGGAGCAACGCCGCGUGAGUGAUGAAGGUCUUCGGAGCGGAAAAAUCUGUUACUAGGGAAGAACCUAUGUGUAAGUAACUGUGCAGAGCUUGACGGUAAUUAAUCAGAAAGCCACGGCUAACUACGUG